GAUGAACGCUGGCGGCGUGCUUAACACAUGCAAGUCGAACGAAGAGGCCCAGCUUUUGGGGGGGGCUCGAGUGGCGAACGGGUGUGACACGCGUGUGUAACCUGCUCUUGACUGUGAGAUAACUUCGGGAAACUGUGGAUAAUUCGGGAUAGGAGCUCCUGCUGCGUGGUGGGGGGGGGAGAGUUUUGGCGGUUGGGGAUGGACUCGCGGCUUAUCAGCUUGUGGGUGGGGUAGUGGCUUACCAAGGCGUUGACGGGUAGCCGGCCUGAGAGGGUGACCGGCCACAUUGGGACUGAGAUACGGCCCAGACUCCUACGGGAGGCAGCAGUGGGGAAUAUUGCACAAUGGGCGGAAGCCUGAUGCAGCGACGCCGCGUGCGGGAUGACGGCCUUCGGGUUGUAAACCGCUUUCGCCUGUGAAGAAGCGAGAGUGACGGUAACGGGUGAAGAAGCACCGGCUAACUACGUG
rnacentral:rRNA from 1 species